rnacentral:lncRNA from 1 species
UUAUAUAUUCUUACUUUCCUUCCCCACUUUUUAUGAUUUUGAUUACUUUUUAACAUCUUCAUAUUUAGAUAUGUGUGCUGGCUUCUUUAAGUGAUUGCUUUCCUUUUUUUUAUUUAAAAAAAGCCCUUUCAGUAUUUCUUUUAGAAUGCAUUUAGUAUUGCCAUAAUCUUUUAGCUUUUGUUGGAGAAAUUCUUUAUUUCCUAUUCUAUUUUAGAUUAUAUUCUUGCUGGAUAGAGUAUUUUAGAUUGCAAUUUUUUUUUUCCUUUCAGCAUUCUAUAUAUAUCUUGUCACUCCCUUCUAGCCUGCAGUGUUUCUGUGUGAAAUCAGCUGAUAGAUUUAUGGAGAUUCCCUUAUGAUUAACAUUUUGCUUUUCUCUUGUUGCCUUAGAAUCCUCUGUUUAACUUUUUCCAUUUUUAUUAUAAUAUGUCUUGGUGUGGGCCUGUUUGGGUUCAGCUUGUUUGGGGCCCUCUGUGCUUCCUGUAUCUUGAAAUCAAUAUCCUUUAGAUGUAGAAAGUUUCCAGCAAUCAUUUCUUCAAAUAUAUUUUCCAAUGCCUUUUCUUUUUCUUCUCCUUCUGGAAUUCCCAUUAUGCAUAGAUUGGCCUGCUUUAUAUUAUCCCAUAGGUCUCUUAUAUUGCUUUCCUGUUUUUUUCAUUUGGUUUUCUGUCUGCUGCCCUGAUUGUUUGAUUUCCAUUAUUCUAUCUUCCCUUGUCACUAAUUCGUUCCUCUGCAUUAUUCAUUCUGCUCUUUAUUGCCUUAAGCUCAGUUUGCAUCACUGAAAAUGAUUUUUUUAGCUUUUCUUGGCUCCUUGUUAUUUUUUCUAGCUCCUUUCUGAGGGAAUCUGCAUUACUGUUCAUAUCCUCUCUGAAUUCCUUCAGUAUUUUCACUAUCUGCCUUUUGAACUCAAUGUCUGUCGGACUGUAGAGGUCUGUUUCAUUGUUGAAUGCUUUAGGUGAAUUCUCCUAUUCCUUUACCUGGUAAUGGUUUCUGAGCUUCUUUAUCUUGCUUGUGUUUUUCUUUAUCUGUGAGUUUGGCAAAGCCAAACUGUAGUCUUGUAAGGCUAUUUUUAUGCAAGAAUAACUCUUUGUAUUUUUGAGGGGAUACUAUUUAUUUUUGGUGUGGGAAUUUGAAUAUUUGCUGGUUUGUUUCUUUGGUGUGAGCCAGCUAUCAUUUCCAGGAUGCUCAGUUUGUUUUCAGUGAGAAGCAGGUAGUGGGUAGGACCAGCAGUCAGUGCCUGGUCAUUGGGCUCUCAACAGAAAGACCUGCAGGAAGGUGUCACAGGAUACUCCUAGCUGCAGGGCCCUGGGAAGUGGUAAUGAGCUCUAGGCAGAUCUUCAAUGUGACCAUAGCAUUUGGCAGUAGCAACAGCAGGGCCUAUGAAUUCCCAGGGAAGUUAGAGCAGCAACAGCUUUUUUGAAUUGCAUUGCCCUCCUUUGAGGUGAGUGGAAUUUCAGGUGGUGCCUGUUCAGGGACCCCUAGUGGGAGAGGGCCAUGACUGUCUCUAGAUUCAGUGAUAACUGUGGUGGUUUGCCCCUGCCAAGUGUAGGCCAUGCACAAAGCAACCAGUCUCACUUAGCCUGCAUAGGAAUUGCUGCACAGGCUGUUCCUAGUUGCGGGGUCCUUGAAAGUGACAGAGAUUUGGCAUAUGGGUACUGCCCUGACCAUUCAGCAGUGGCAACAGCAGUGCCAAUGUAUUCCUAAGGGUGCAAGAGCACCUACAGGUGGUAUUCAGUCACAGUGCAGUCUUCUAUGAUGCCUUGAAGUGAAUGAGACUGCAAAUGGUGCCUGUUCACCGACCCCUAGUGGUGUCAGGCCACUGCUGCCUCUUCAGCCAGAGAUAACUGCUGUGGUUUGCCCCCACAACCUGUAAAUUAUACAAGGAGCACCUCAUCCUUCUUAGCUCCAAUAGAAUGUGCUAUGCAAGCUGCUCCUGGUUGCAGGUUCCUGGGAAGGGACAGUGAUCACACAUCUUGUCACUGCCCAGCAUGUUUGGCUGUGGCAGCUGCAGGGAGUGUGUGCUCCUGGAGGAGUGAGAGCACCAUCAGGUGGUGUUCCAUCACAAUGACCUUCUCUGAGAUGCCCUCUGAAGUGUUUAGGGUUGAAGGUGAUAUUUGUUUGGAUAUCCCCAGCAGCUGUGAGCCAAGACCACCUCCAGAGUCAGGGAUAACUGUGGUGGUUUGCUCCCACCACCUGCAGGUCCAGUCUGCCAUGGGCUAGCAAGUGGCUUCUGGAUGCAGGGGGCUGUGCCUGAGAUUCCCAGUCUGGGGCAGGCCAGAGAGUGGCUUCCCAUGGCCCAAGAGGCCUGGGCCGUGGUGAAUGGCAAGUGGUUUCUGGCUACUGAGCUGGCUGCACCAGGGACACUCCACACCCCAAGAGCCCAUGGGUGUGUGCACACUAGGGCACAAGGAGUUUCCUAUGGUGGCCUGCCCCUCCUACUCUUGUCCUCCCCAACAAUGGCACUUUGCCUCUCCUGUGGUUCUAGAACUUUUCCCUGGUUCCCUCUGCUGUUGUUUUCCACUACCCAGCCCUUAGUGUACCACUACCCCCACCUGCUAUGCACUGUUCCGUAGCCUCUUAGGCUGUCUCCACACCACCAUCCCCAGCCUGAUCCUGGGGGCUGACCUCUGGAGCCUAAGUCUCAGCACCCAGCCCCCACCCGAGCAUCUCAGGCUGUGGUGUCUGCACCAGUGGUUCAGAUGAUCUGUGCACCUCUAACUCUGCUUUUCUGUUCUCAGACAUGCUGUGCUUUUCUUGGUGUCUUUGAGGUCCCUCCCACUUGGCUGAACUUUCCAUCAGUUAGGUGGCUUCCCAGGGUGUGGGUUCCUAUUCUCCUUCACAGCUCCCUUUUGGGAAUGCUAGUCCCAUCCUGAUAACUUUUCUCUCUCCCUCUUUUUUUCUUUUAUUCUACCCAGUUACACCAAGGGUUUCUAGCUCUUUUUGGAGGGUUAAGUUAUUCUGCCAGCUUUCAGUUUAUGUUCUUUGUGAGUCAUUUUACAUGUAGAUGUGGUUUUUAGUGAUGUGUUUGUGGGAGAGGCUGAGCAUAACCUCUUAUUCUCCAUGAUCUUGCCUGCACCCACAUGUAUGUUUAUUUGUAUAUUUUUAAUUAUGUUAUCUUUUACCUACUAAGAAAUAAAAAGAAGGUAAUGGGAAAUAAAGGAAAAUAGAAUAAAAUAUAAAGUGAGCCUAACUAUAUUUUCAGUUAAUGCCAUAAUCAGACUAAAGGGGAAAAUAAACAGUUGUUAUUAUUUAAAUACCAAAUUUUGUCUAUAAACUCCUCUAACAAUAAUUAAAAUACAGUAAGCAUAUUUUUUUGGUAAGCAAUUUUUUUGAGCUGAAAUUAUUUUUUUAUUAACAGUGAUUUCAGUUCAAUAUUCUGAAAUUACAUGUAUUCAAAGAUUUGGUAAAUAAAUAAAUUUUUCCUGGGAAAGAGAAUGACUCCUGAAUGGGGGAAAGUUGUGAUGUACAUGGAAAAAGAGAGGCUAGAAAGAACUCUUUGGUGUCAAACUAGAAUUGAAAAUACCAACUUGAACUCAUGGGUUAUAAUGUGCAGAAACAAAUUCAAAUUAUAUAUCAACAUCUGUGGUUCCCAUCUCCCAUUUUUUCUGUCCCACUCCUGAACCAUUUCUUAGGGGUAACCAUUCCUUUAGUUUGCUUGUUUCUAGUUUCUACAUCCUGUGUUUCUUUUAUAUAUCCUUCCUGGCUGUAUUCUCUGAGAUAACUUUGAAACCUUGUAAGCAACAAACACAUGUAAUUCCAAAUUUGAUUUUUGAAUAUCAAUAUCUUCUAACAGGAACCAAAGUGACUUAUAAAAAUGGCUGAUUCUAGGCCUGGGGCCAGGACAAGACAAGACCAGGGAAAUUUGCUAAGCUUGAAAAUUAAAAGUGCUCACUCAAUCAAGGGGACACAUAAGCCAGCUGGAAGGUCUCACAUUGGCCAAAGCUGGGAUAAUUAGAGCUUCAAAAUGAAUAACAUCAGUAAUAAUUUAUAACUCAGAGAAUAAAUAAGAAGUCAUGAGUCCAUGAUGAUAUAAAUUAAUCAGUGAAAAAAAAAUGAAUGAAUCCAAUCAACAUAGAGGAAAUAACCAAAUUAGAAAAUCAUCAUUUGGGAGAUGGGAUUAAGAUGGCAGAACAGAAGGACUGGAGCUCAACUUCUCUCCUAAAAACAACAAAAUUCACAACUAAAGACUGAGCACACUUCACCAAAAUGGACGGGAAAACUUAAAAAAGAUACCCUACUCCAGAAGAAAAACAGGCCACAUCAAGAGGUAGGAGGGGCAAUUUCAUGAUAUAAACAACCCCAUUCCUCCUGGGUGGGAAGCCCCACAGACUGGAAACUAACUGGUUCACAGAGAUUCACCUACAGGAGUGAGAGUUCUGAGCCACACAUCAAACUCUCACAUGUGGGGAUCUGGCACUGGGAGAAAGAGCUCCUGGAGCAUCUGGUGUUGAAGGCCAGUGGGGCUUGUGCACAGGAGCUCCAUGGGACUGGGGGAAACAGAGACCCCAUUCUUAAAAGGUGCACACAGAUGUUCACAUGCACUGGGUCCUAGGGCAAAGCCAAGUCUCCAAGGGAAUCUGGGUCAAACCUGACCGCAGUUCUUGGAGGACAGCCUGGGAAAACAGGGGUGAAUGUGGCUUAUUGUGAGGGAAGGACAUUGAAAGCAAAGCUCU